GUGUUGAACAGCUACUGGUGCAGAACCCAUUUUGAUAGUCUGAAAUAGGUGCUUCAUAAAAGCAGUGUUAAAGAAGCAGAACUUUUUAGCAAUCAAGAUUCCUCACAACUCUCUUGGAUUCGCCUGAUGAUGAAAAUGGAAGCAAAGAAAAUUUGACAGACAUGUUUGUUAUAUCCUCCUAUUCUGAAGCCAGCUUAAACAUCAUAUUUUCAGUCUGAAAGUGUCCAAAAAAGCUCUGUUCAGAAAUUUAUUCUGAAUGUAUAUGACUAGCUUGCAUUUGUGCUAAUCAAACAUAUUGGUCAUUGUAGUCUUAUUCUUUAGUUCAGCAUCAAGUACUAUAUAUGAAAUUAGGUUGCCAUAUUA